AGGAAAUGCAGAAGGCAAAAAACUGCGUAGGAGAUCAUUAAUACAAAAGUAUUAUAUAAACCAAACCUGAUGUUGCCAGCUCCUUCAAUGAAUGCAGCAGUGUGACAGCCAACAAUCAAAAGUAACAAGAUAUCGAGGAAAUGCAGAAGGCAAAAAACUGCGUAGGAGAUCAUUAAUACAAUAGUAUUAUAUAAACCAAGCCUGAUGUUGGCCGCUCAUUCAAAGAAUGCAGCAGUGUGACAGCCAGCAAUCAAAAGUAACAAGAUGUCGAGGAAAUGCAGAGUGUAAUAAACUGUGUAGGAGAUUAUGAUUGCAAUAGAAUAAAAUCGACCAAGCCUGAAGUCCUUCAAUGCACGCAGCAGUGUGACAGCCAGCAAUCAAAAGUUACAAGAUAUCGAGGAAAUACAGAAGGCAAAGAAGCAGAUGUCAUCAAAGAAGAUCUUUGUUCCUGCAAUGUUUCCGCAGACGAUACAUCCAACAGAGCGAAGUGGAAGGAAAAGACUCGGAAUAAAGACCCCACCACCAUAUGGGAACAAUGCAAGGGAGAGAGAGAGAAUAUAAUGUUAUAUUUUUAUUUUUUGAUAACAUAAAAUAA